rnacentral:rRNA from 1 species
UACGAAGGGAGCUAGCGUUGUUCGGAAUCAUUGGGCGUAAAGCGCGUGUAGGCGGCUAGGUAAGUCUGCUCUGAAAGUCCAGGGCUCAACCCUGGAAAGCGGGUGGAUACUGCCGGGCUAGAAUCCGGAAGAGGCGAGUGGAAUUCCUGGUGUAGCGGUGGAAUGCGCAGAUAUCAGGAGGAACACCAAUAGCGAAGGCAGCUCGCUGGGACGGUAUUGACGCUGAGGCGCGAAAGCGUGGGAGCAACAGG